GAUGAACGCUGGCGGCGUGCCUAACACAUGCAAGUCGAGCGAACAGACGAUGAUCUUGCUGCGCUCACGUUAGCGGCGGACGGGUGAGUAACAGGUGGAUUACCUCCCUAUAAGACUGGGAUAACGGCGGGAAACCGGAGCAAAUACCAGAUAAUAUAUGGAACCGGAUUGUUCAAUAGUUAAGGAUGGGUUUGCUGUCACUUCUAGAUGUAUCCGCUCCGAAUUAGAUAGUUGUCAAGGUAACGGCUUACCAAGGCAACGAGGCGUAGCCGACCUGAGCGGGUGAUCGGCCACACUGGAACUGAGACAAGGUUGAGACUCCUACGCGAGGCAGAAGUAGGGAAUAUUCCGCAAUGGGCGAAAGCGUGCAGGAGGAGCGACGCGUAAGUAGUGAAGGUCUUCGGAUCGUAACAGUCUGUUAUUUGGGAAGAACAAAUGUGUAAGUAGCUAUGCACGUCUUGACGGUACCUAAACAGAAAGCAACGGCUAACUACGUG
rnacentral:rRNA from 1 species